UACAGGGGGUGCAAACGUUGCUCGGAAUCAUUGGGCGUAAAGCGCACGUAGGCGGUCUGUUAUGUCGGAUGUGAAAGCCCUUGGCUUAACUGAGGAAGUGCAUCCGAAACUGGCAGGCUAGAGUACUAAAGAGGGUCGCGGAAUUCCCGGUGUAGAGGUGAAAUUCGUAGAGAUGUGGAGGAACACCGAUGGCGAAGGCAGCCCCCUGGGCUAACACUGACGCUCAUGCACGAAAGCGUGGGGAGCAAACAGG
rnacentral:rRNA from 1 species